rnacentral:rRNA from 1 species
CGCUGGCUUUUGCUUGAAUAUAUUAGCAUGGAAUAAUCAUGUAUGAUUUUCAUGAUGUACUUGAUUGGUUUGGUUCAUGAGAAUAAGAUUAAAAGGGACAGUUGGGGGUAUUCAUAUUCAAUAGUCAGAGGUGAAAUUCUCGGAUUUAUGGAAGAUGAACAAGUGCGAAAGCAUUUACCAAGGAUGUUUUCAUUAAUCAAGAACGAAAGUUAGGGGAUCG